rnacentral:tRNA from 1 species
GUUCCUUUCGUCUAGUGGUUAGGACAGCACCCUUUCAAGGUGUAAACACGGGUUCAAUUCCCGUAAGGAAU